UGGAGGAGUGUCCUUGCUGAGUGAAAGCCUUUUUAAGAUUGGUGAGGUGGCGAUCCCGGGUGUUCUCUUCAGUACAAAUGCAGUAGUAUCUGAGGGCUUGGCUGCAUAUCACAGCUUUUUUGGUGUGUUUAGGGUGAUUGCUGGUUCUGUGCAGAUAUGUAUGUUGGUCUGUGGGUUUCUUGUAUACUGUGGUCUGUAUUUUACCCUUCUGGAUACUGAUCAUUGUGUCUGAAAAGGAGAUGUUGGUGCUGGAGUAUUCUAAAGAAAGUCGGAUGGAGGGGUGGUGAUUGUUGAAUUUCUGGUGGAACUUAAUCAGAGAUUGCAGGUUCUCAGUCCAAAUGAUGAAGAUAUCAUCGAUGUAUCUUAAGUAUAGCAAGGGUUUGAUGGUGCAGUUCUUAAGGAAGUCUUCUUCCAGGUGGCUCAUAAAAAGGUUGGCAUACUGUGGGGCCAUUUUAGUGCCCAUAGCUGUUCCCAUCAUCUGGAGGAAGUAUUGAUUAUUAAAAGUGAAAUUGUUGUGUGUGAGGAUGAAGUGUAUAAGGUCAGUAAUAUCUUUGGGUCUGUAUUCUGGGUUGUAAUCUUGUUCCUGUAGAUAUGUAAGGCAGGCUUGGAUGCCAUCCUGGUGUGGGAUGUUGGUAUAUAGGCUGGUAACGUCCAUGGUGGCUAGGAGUGUGUUGCUGGGAAGGUGGUCUAUGUUUUUAAGUUUCCUUAGAAAGUCUGUAGAGUCUUGUACAAAACUUGCUCUGUGGGUGACAAGCGGUUUUAGGAUUGAUUCAACGAAACCUGAUAUUUCCUCAGUUAGGGUCCCAUGGUUGGAUAUGAUAGGUCUGCCAGGGUUCCCUUGUUUGUGGAUUUUAGGGAGCAUGUAAAAAGUCCCUGGGUUAGGCAGCGGGGGAUCAAGGUCUGUAGUUUUUCUUGUAGUCUUGAUGGAAAUGAUUUGAUGGUAUUGUUGAGUUUUUUGGUGAAAAGGGGAGUAGGAUUUUCUUGUAGUUCUUUGUAGUAGGUGGUGUCAGAGAGCUGUCUCUUGGCUUCCUUUAUGUAAUCCUCACGGUUUAGGAUGACUAUAUCUCCUCCUUUAUCUGCUGGUUUUAUUACUAUUUGGUGGUUGGAUCUUAGAGAUUCUAUGGCCUUUUUCUCUGGUAGAGAGAGGUUGUUGUGGUGGCGUGUGUUGCUGAUUAUUUCGUUGUUCAUUCUUUCCCUGAAGCAGUCAAUGUAGCGGUCAAGGUUAGGGUUUCGUCUACUGCGAGGUGUCCAAUCUGAUGUUUUUUUGGGCUUUUUGGCAUUGAUCCUUUCCUGAAUGUUGUCAGAGGAUGAGUUGUUGUUGGGAGUGGGUUCAGUUUGGUCGUGGAAAUAUUCUUUGAGGCGCAGGUGUCGGAAGAAUUCUUCUAGUUCUCCACAUUGAAGUAUUUUGUUAGGGUAUUUUUCUGGACAGAAAUUUAGGCCUUUAGAAAGGCCAGAUUUUUCAGUUUUGGUAAGCGUGUGUGUGGAGAGAUUGAUAAUAUUUGUGGGUUGGUUGCUGCUUUCAGUUUCAUCGAGUCUGAGGCUGGAAGGUCGUAAGGUGUUGGUGUUAUUCCUCUGAUGGUUGUUUUGUGGCUGGGGAGCUUGUUCUUGGAGUAAUUUGUUCCGUUUCUUCUUUUUAUGUAGGAUGAAUGCUGUAGAAAGUUUUUCGUAGUCUCUUUGUAUCCACUGUAUAUUGUCAGGGAACAUGCAUUGAUUUUUAUCUUUUAAAUUGUUGUAGUAUAUGGUGAUUUCCUUCCUGAGUUGGUCUCUUUUGGAGUAGAGUAGGUGAAGUAGAUGAUUUCUAAUUUUCUCUGAAGUUCUUCUGCAUAGCUGUGAAGCAUAUUUGGAGCUGUGUGUAGUAGUCAGGGGAUUGUAGAUGUUUAGUCCUCGGGGAAUGAUGUUGUGUUUCUUGCAAAGGCUUAGAAAAUAUAUGUUGCUGUUGAGUUUGGCUUCUUUCUUUUUCAUGUUGUAUAGUUUCCAUUUCAGACGGCUGAAUUCGAUAUCUUCCAUGUUGCAGGGGUUUGGGUCAUAGCCAUGUUGGUCUAAGGACAUAGGCAGACAAGGUUCCUUGGGUGAAUUUGAUAUCUUUUAUUAGACCAACCCAAAUGGUUGGAGAAUAGUUAUACUCCAGCUGUGGCCUCACCAACGUCGAAUAGAGUGGGGGGAGCACCUCUCUGGAUCUGUUGGUGACACAUCUGCUGAUAAACACCAGAGUUCUAUUUGCUGUGUUGGCGACUUCAUCACACGGGUGACUCAUAUUCAUCCUGUGGUCAAUUGGCACCCCUAAGUCCUUUUUUGGAUGCAUUGCCAGCCAGUGGACAACCACCCGUUGUAUAGAUAUGGUGACAGUUCUUCCUGCCCAGAUGAAGGACCUGGCAUUUGUCCCUGUUGAAACUCAUAUUGUUUUGUUCAGCCCAUAGGACCAGCCUGUCAAGGUCUUCCUGAAUGGUUGACCUGUCCUCUGAUGUGCUCGCUUGUCCCCACAGCUUGGCAUCAUUUGCAAACUUAAUCAUUGCACUUUUCACUCCCUCAUCCAGGUCAUUAAUAAAGAUGGUAAUGAGCACAGGCCCAAGCACUGACCCCUGGGACACACCACUGGAGACGGCCUGCCAGGAUGAGGCCACUCCCUCAAUUAUGACUCAUUGAGAUUGCCCACUGAGCCAGUUCCCAACCCACCUCAUUGUAGCCUGGUCUAGGCCAGUACUCUCCAACUUGACUGAGAGGAUUUAAUGGGAAACAGUAUCAAAGGCCUUUCUGAAAUCUAGGUAGAUGACAUCCACCUCCUGUCCCAUGUCCAGGUAGUUAGUUACCUGGUCAUAAAAGGACACCAGGUUUGUGAGGCAUGACCUCCCCUCUACAAAGCCACGCUGGUUGCUUCUCAGUACCCCACCAUAUGCGAGCUUGUGUUGAUGGCCUCCUUGACAAUUUUUUCAAAGAUCUUCCCCAGGACCAAAGUCAGACUGACCAGUCUAUAGUUGGCAGGGCCAUCCCUCUUUCUCUUCUUAGAGAUAAGAAACACAUUUGCCUUUUCCAGUCAUUAGGGACAACUCCUGAGUUCCACAUCUUCUUAAACCGCCCCGCCAGAGGCACCACAGUUAUUUGUGCCUUUGUCACCUCAUGGCUGGGCUACAACAAUAUGGUAUAUCUGGGCACAAUGUCUACAACAGUUAGGAAAUCCCAUUGCUGCAGUGCAUCUCAGCAGCACAGGCUAGUUAAAGCACUUAAGAUCUGCCCUCCAUUCUUUAUACUAUCUUCCUAUAGAAGUUUCAAUGCAGUUCUUAUUCUCAAGAUGUUCCAUGGACCAGGCUCAGAAUAGUUAACAAGAGUGCCUAAAGUUCUGGUAUGAAGACUGUGAUUGACAAAUAUGUUCCUUUGUCACAGUAGAACUUGUCUGCAUAGGAGACAAAGUUUUCUUAUAGGGUUGCUUAAGGCUACAUAAUGAAUUAAAGACUAUCAAAAACCUAAACCCCUUCUGCUCUAAGUGCAUGGUGCAUUUCCUGAAUUACUCUGUGUAUAUUUUUAAUUUAAAAAGAAAACACUGUACUGAGCACACUGUCCAUCAGAGGAAUAAGAGAACCAAUGCGUGACAUGUGUUGUUAGGUUGCUUUAAUGCAGUACUGAAGAUGCUCAGAUUCUACAGUGAUAAGGGUGAUAUAAGAAUAUUGCCUAGGUUCUAGUUAAUGUUUCUGGGUGAUAUUUUUAUAGCAUUUAUUGGAAUUUGUUUUUAAUAUUGGUUGAAACUCUUAAACCAGGAACUAUUUCUGGAGAGAUGAAAAGGUCCUUAUAUUAUUAACAUUUUCUCUAUAUAUUUUGACAAGGCAACAAAACAAUGGAGCCAGAGGUAGGACAAAGGACUUAAUUAGGCUACAAAAGAAGACUAAGAGUGGGAGCACACUGGGAUGGGGAUAGGGAGUCUACAGGGAUGAGACUAAGACUUUCUGGAAAAGAGGCUGGAACCAAGAAUAGGUAGAUGUAACAUGAGCAUUCUUAAGUUUCCUUCAGGUCCUGUUUGCUUCCAUUUAUCUGUCCCUCACCAAAUGACAGGAAAAUGCAGUUAUAUUAGAUUACUAAUGAAGUACCAUGAUCUGAGGGUGAUGUGUUGCAGUGGUCAGUAUCUCACUAUGGUUCCAGAAGCAUGAGUUCAAGCCUUGUGUAAGGGUCAUACCAAAUGCUGCUCCCAGUGACCCAGCUAUAAAGAUCUAUUGGCUGGUAAGUUAAAGGUUGCUAGAUGUUAUAAAAUCACGUGCCUUCUUUUUAUACAUUAUGGGCCACCUAAGGUUGGACUGAUCUUGACCUUUUACUAAUAUAGUAAGUCCCUAUACCUGCAAUUGGACCUGUACAGACAGGUCAGGGCAUCUCUGUGAAGAUCUUAGAUCUUGAAUGCUGAUUUGAGUGACAGACAAGGUUCCUUGGGUGAAUUUGAUAUCUUUUAUUAGACCAACCCAAAUUUGAGUGACAGUAAGAUUAGGGAACUAUUUAAUUAUUUUUGCAGUCCUUAGCUGUGAUUGUUCUGAUAGUUCAGUCCUUAGCUAGAAAGAACUAGAACCCUGUGAUCAGGUGUUGCUAUUAGGAUGACUGGCAACUGCUCUGCAGACCAUACUUGGAAGACUGCUUGUGUGUAAUGGACAGUUCUGGGAUUAAAACAUGAAAAACAAGAUAAACAGGUCUGUCUGUCUAGUUCCUUAUGUAGUGCCCAUCAAAAUGGCCCUUAUGUUUGAAGACCACCCAAAACAAAGAUAUAAAUUCACAAAGGAAAAAUGGGUUUGAGUAGGAGAAAACACUGUGUGGAUAAGGUUUUGUUUGACUCAGUAACAAUCCUAUGGAUUCAGUUGCUGUGUGACCAAUAGUCUCUCUCUUUUUUUUAUUGUUUUCACACAAAGAAACAGCAGCUCUAAAGAUUUUCUAGACACUUUUUGAGGCUCAGCCCAACUCAGAGCCCAAAAAGUCUUCCUUUGAGUCUUAUGUCACCUUCUGGUGUUUCGCCCAUGAAAAUAUAGUCUGCUUCAAAGAAAUGACACAGCCUCCAGCGUGGCAAACAGCAUGUACUGAGAAAGGGUUCUGGUAUUUCUGACUACUCUGUAGGAUGUGUCCUUGCUUCGUAGAUAUUUAAGUUUAGCAGAAAUCUUUGAUAUUUUUUGUUUCAUUUCCUUGAUAUCCAUCAGAUUAGAGCAAAACUUGGCAACAUCAGUAUACAGAAAAUAUCUGUGGGUUUUUCUGUUUUUGUUUUGUUUCUAUUUUUUUUUUUUACCAUAAAAAAAACCCCAUGAAAUUCUCAAAAGGCAGUUUAAGUUGCAACCUGCCAUAAGAGCACUCUGGACAGAAAUGUUCUUGUUUUAUGUUUCAUUGUUUAUUGAUGCUAUGUAUUAAUCAUUCUAUUUCCCCACCUUUCAGAUGCAUUAUUUGUCACAGGCUCUGGUUAAAAAUCAGCAGCUGAAUAAAAAUUCUGUGGGACCAACUUCUCAUAGGGUGUAAAUGAGCAUAUCUCCAUUAAAACCCAUGGAAGCUGCAGAACUUUAUGCCAGGGAAUAAAGCAUCUUUUUAUCUCCACCCACCAAGCCCUGACGACACUGUUCUGUCUGUUUACAUAGUGACAUCAUGUUCUAGCGCUGUUUAAGUCCCAGAAAUAACUGAAAGUGUAAAGCAAACAGGAAGAGGAUCUUGAUGCAGGCACUGCUGUUACCUCCUUUGUUGCUCCCACACAAUGAGGCCAAUUUUUGUUCAAGACAAAGAAAAUAUAAACAGAGCAUGGGUCUGGAAUAUGAGCAAGUCCUCUGAGCUCAGAAUUCUUCAGCAGUGUGGAAAUGGUGUGUUACAUUAACCAUUUGCCAAUAAAUUCUGGCUAAUCAGAUGCUGGACAGUAUCUCAGAUGAAUGGGAAUGAAUGCGGGUGCUUGAGAGACAAUGGCAGUAGGUCUAAAAAUAUCUCCUUCUGAAUGACCGAACCAUAAACACCAAUACCUGGACCAACGACCCAGCCAUUGGAACCACCCUCAGCAUUCAAAGAAACAAAAGAUGAGGCAACACACCAUUGUGCCAAGGCUGCACAUGCUCAGUAAGAACACCUGGAGCCCUCUGGAACAGGACUGACAUUGCCUGAACAGGCCCUCCCCAUAAGAGAUCAUAGGUAGUCUGCCCCAUAAAAAGGGGUAGUGAAGAUUGACUCCUUGGGAUGCCCUUUCCAUCUGGACCAGCACCAUGCCACACCACCUAUCCACCCAGAGGCCCUGCUGGCGACCCCCCUCUGGAAAACACCUACUGGACAAAGACCCCUUUCCAGCCUGGAUAGGUAACUAUCACCCCCACCCCCUCUUCAACCAAGGACUUGGACUCUGAUUCUCUUCUCUACCUGGACUCCAACUCUUCCACUGAGUCUCUUUCUCCUACUGCUACUGUGUGUGUGUGUGUGUGUGUGUGUGUGUGUGCGCGUGUGUGGACCAAUAACUUCAUAGGGCUGUGUAGUGUGUUGUCUGUUUAAUAAACCUGUUAUUUUGAAACCCUGA